GAGGAGAGAAGCAAGAAAGGUGAUGAGGGCAGCAGUGAGAAAGAGUAGGGUCCCUGGCACCUGGUCUCCUACCUCCUGCACUUAGGAGGUCCCUCUGGCCUACUCUAUCUCAUCCCAGUGCAUUCUAGACCAGGCAUGUAGCCCUGGCCAAGUCCCUCUCCUGUCUCAUCACCCUGUACUGGAGGGAAUUCCUGAAGCAGGCCAUGUGCUCCUCCUACGCCAGGAGGGCUGAGGGCUGUCCUUACAAAGAGCUGAGUCAGCAGGUCUCCCCCACCCCAUGCUGGGCAAAGUCAAAUGCAAGCACCUCCUACCCGAGGGAACUUUGGCCCCAGCCCUGAGAUAAGCUCAGAUGAGAAGACGACAGGAAAGGUGCACAGGGAAACAGCUAGAUGAGCUGGCAUCCAUAAGUGAGAAUGGAUAUGAAUGACAACAGUCACGGAUCAGCAGACUUUUGAAAACUCUGCUGUUUGAUAUCACAUCAGUAAGAACGGAUCAUCUCUUGCCUGGAGGAACUUUUUGUCAUUUUGACAAAAAGAAGUUGCCUCAAUUUCCAAUCCAGGUGCACACUUCAGAUAAGUGGUUUUGGAGACACGUCACCCCACCUAGCCUUUAUCUACCUUUAGUUCCAAGAAAACAGAACCUUGGAUCCAAUUCCCAGCGGAGAUUUGAGUUUGAACUCCUGAGCCCUCAUCCUAACCCCAUCCCUGCAGGUCCUAGGCCCCUUAUCCCAGAGCCCCCGCAGGCUGUUCCCUCCCUAAUCCUCCCAGGGCAACAUCGUCUGUCUAAUUCACUACCCACUCCAGUCCCUAUGCUCUCUCAUUACAGGCUCCCUCUUCAUGUUUCCCACUUUGUACCUCCCGGCCAAUUACGUGCCCCCACCCCAUGAGCGUCCACCUACUUCCCCCGUUAACGCCUAGAGCUCCUUUCCAAGGGGUCCCAUCCUCCUCUGCCCCCCGAAGCGGAACCCCAGGGCCGGAAGAUAAGCGCCGAGCCGGACAGGCUGCGCGCGAGUGGGCUUCCCGGAAGUGCAUCUCCCCCCAGGGUCCCCCAGUCCCCCGGAGAGGGGCUGCGAACCAACCUGCGUUGGUGCGGCUGCGGCCAUGAUCCGUGUGGCGGGUAACAGUGCACGCCCGGGGCGCGGCCGGGGAGAAAGACGUUCCGGCCCCGCCCCGCUCACACCCCCUCCCGGGAGAGGGCCGCCUGCCUGGCACCCCAGGCCCGCAAGGCCUCCCCGGCUAUAUGGCUCCCGAGGGGAGCUGGCCUCGGCUGUGAGCGCGAGCGCUAGAAGGGAUAGGACUUUAAACGGUCCCCUCCAAGCUCUGUUCCUGCCACACUGAUACCCCACAGGAGCGUGCCUACAGCGGUUUUCACAGACUGUCGCCGAACUCUGGCCAAGAAUAAGCAGCCCAAGCCAGGGACCCCACGUGUCCUCCCCCGCACUCAGAAGUCUCAGCCUCAGCCACUCUUUCUGACCCAGAUGUCUCGACCUCCCACUACCUCCUCCUUCCGGACUUUUAAAACCACCUACCUUUCUGCUCCACAGGCAGUGUCAAAACUCCUUUUCCCUAAGGGCCAAGAAUAAAGAGGAGGCCCUUUGGAUUCUC